GACGAACGCUGGCGGCGCGCUUAACACAUGCCAGUCGAACGGAAAGGCCUGCUUUCCCUUGUGGAUUGCGGGUACUCGAGUGGCGAACGGGUGAGUAACACGUGAGUGAUCUGCCCCCAACUUGGGUAUAAGCCUGGGAAACUGGGUCUAAUUCCCGAUAGGACUGCAGGGUGGUGCCUGUGGUGGAAAACGAUUUUCUAGUGGUUGGGGAUGAGCUCGCGGCCUAUCAGCUUGUUGGUGGGGUAAUGGCCUACCAAGGCGGCGACGGGUAGCCGGCCUGAGAGGGUGGACGGCCACAUUGGGACUGAGAUACGGCCCAGACUCCUACGGGAGGCAGCAGUGGGGAAUAUUGCACAAUGGGCGGAAGCCUGAGGCAGCGACGCCGCGUGGGGGAUGACGGCCUUCGGGUUGUAAACUCCUUUCGACCGCGAGGAAGCCACCUGGUUGGAAGGGUGGUGACGGUAGUGGUAGAAGAAGCACCGGCUAACUACGUG
rnacentral:rRNA from 1 species